CCCUUAGAUGUUCUGGGCCGCACGCGUGCUACACUGAGUGGAUCAGCGGGUCAGGUUGCGCGAAAGCGUUUCCUAAUCUGUAAAUCCGCUCGUGAUGGGGAUUGACGGUUGCAAUUUUCUGUCAUGAACGAGGAAUACCUUGUAAGCGCGGGUCAUCAUCCCGCGCUGAAUACGUCCCUGCCCUUUGUACACACCGCCCGUCGCUCCUACCGAUUGAGUGGUCCGGUGAGGCUUUGGGAUCUGAGCGGAAAGAGCGUUUCGCUGUUUCUGCUCGGAAAACUCAGUCGAACCUUAUCAUUUAGAGGAAGGAGAAGUCGUAACA
rnacentral:rRNA from 1 species